AGAGAGAGAGAGAGAGAGAGAGAGAGAGAGAGAGAGAGAGAGAGUGAACUGUAACUUUCAAGAAAGUGAACUGUAACUUUCAAACUAUGGCUUACAACUGUGCAAUGAGCCCAUAGAAAUAUAAAAGAAAGAUUAGAUGAACAGCUAUCCCAUCAACCACCCUCAUCUAUAUAUAUAGAUAUGAAAGAGUUAUCAUGAAAAUAAAAGCAAGCAUUAGGGGAAGCUUCUUAAAUUUUUGAGACGCAAGAGGUGGAGGAAAACAGCUGUAUUAAGAGAUAAAAGCCCUUUUGGAAAAGAAGGGUAUUCUAAUUUAGGUCUAGUUAAGGCCUUGACCAAUCAUUAGCUCUCUUUAGCUUUUUUUUUAAUUUCUUUUUACUCCUACUUGUAAUGACAUGAGAGUUUGAGCACCACUUAUAAAUAGGAGUUGUUUGGGAGAGGCCUCCAAUAGCAUGAGUUUCUUGGAGUGUUUGUAUUCAAGCCCCACUAUUAUAUACAUCUCCCAAGAGAGAGAGGCCCCCUUUUAAAAGUGUGUUAGUCCUAAGUCAAUUCCCAAGAGCUAGCCAUGAACAAGGUUGUUGGGCACAGGGUUGAGUUAUCAGAGAUCGCUACUUCUAACACACAUGGAGAGGAUUCCCCCUACUUUGCUGGGUGGAAAGCUUAUGAUGAAGACCCCUAUGAUCCUGUUAAUAACCCCUCAGGGGUCAUCCAAAUGGGCCUAGCAGAAAACCAAGUAAGCUCUACUUUACACUUACCCUUUAUUCCCAGUUCUCAAAUCUCAACAGGAAGAGAUCAUGACCAAGUAAUUAGUUUCUCAUGCUGCAGCAAAUGAUAACAACUUUGAAUCUUAAAACUUUAAAGCUAGCUCCUGCUGCAGUACAAGAAAGCACUUUGUCUCUUUCCCCCCAUAUAUAAUUAACCCCCACACAAGGAGUUUACAUAAAUGACCAUUUGCCCUUGUUUGGUAUAUAUAUAUAUAUGAGCAGGUUUCAUUUGACCUCCUUGAGGAUUAUUUGGAGCAGCACCCAGAGGCUUCCAACUGGGGAAAUGGAAUCUCCAGCUUCAGGGAAAAUGCCUUGUUCCAGGACUACCAUGGGCUAAAAACUUUUAGAAAGGUAUAUAUUAACUAAAUCCAAAUUAAUUAAGCAUCCUUUGUUAUGCAUAUAUAUAUAUAUAUAUAUAUAUAUACUACACGGUCCAUGCAUUAUUGAAUCUAAUGAUGAUGAUAAAAAGUUAGGAAUUAAGUACACAGGUUUUGUACCAUCACUUUCAAGUUAGUUAGUUAUAUAUAUAUAUAUGUACUCUUUCAUAAUUAAGCACUUAAUAUGUUUAGAGAUUAUUUAUUUUAAUUCUUCAGGCAAUGGCAAGUUUUAUGGAGCAAAUAAGAGGAGGAAAGGCUAAAUUCGACCCGGACCGGAUUGUUCUCACGGCAGGCGCAACCGCCGCGAAUGAGCUAUUGACUUUCAUAUUAGCAGAUCCUGGAGAUGCUUUACUGAUUCCGACUCCGUAUUAUCCAGGGUAUGUAACAGCUAGCUAAACCCCAGCUAGCUAGCUAACUAACUAACUAAUAUCAAUAUCAUUCAUUCAUUUAUUAUUGUUAUUAUUUGUUUAAGCAGAUUCGAUAGAGAUUUGAGAUGGAGAACCGGCGUGAACAUCGUUCCAAUCCGAUGCGACAGUUCAAACGGAUUCCAAGUCACUCUCAAAGCCUUAGAAGCCGCUUACGCCAAGGCAGAAGCGGCGGAGAUGAAAGUCAGAGGGGUUCUCCUGACGAACCCGUCGAACCCGCUGGGCACCGCGGUCGCCAGGGCGGUCCUGGAAGACAUACUAGACUUCGCCGCCCGGAAGGACAUCCACUUGAUAUCCGACGAGAUCUACUCGGGCUCGGUCUUCGCCUCUCCGGAGUUCGUCAGCGUGGCGGAGAUCGUCGAGGCGCGGGGCUACCGCAACUGCGAGAGGGUUCACAUUGUCUACAGCCUCUCCAAGGACUUAGGCCUCCCCGGUUUUAGGGUUGGGACGAUCUAUUCAUACAACAAUAGGGUGGUGACCACGGCGAGGAGGAUGUCGAGCUUCACACUCGUGUCGUCGCAGACUCAGAAGACGCUGGCGUCGAUGCUGUCGGACGAGGAGUUCACAAAGUACUACAUAAGGACCAACAGGGAGAGGCUGAAGAGGAGGUACGAGUACAUAAUCCAAGGGCUGGAGAGAGCAGGGAUUGAGUGCUUGCAAGGGAAUGCCGGGCUGUUCUGCUGGAUGAAUCUGGGGCCACUGCUGGAGGAGCAGACGAGAGAAGGGGAGCUCAGGCUGUGGAAACUGAUAUUGCAUGAGGUGAGGCUCAACAUAUCACCAGGAUCUUCAUGCCACUGCUCUGAGCCUGGGUGGUUUAGGGUUUGCUUUGCCAACAUGAGCCUCCACACACUGGAAGUUGCACUUACAAGGAUAUAUGAUUUCACGCAGAAGAGCAAGACAAUAAAGUCAUUAAUUAAUUAAUUAAUUAAUUAGGCUAGUAAUUUAGAUAUGCUCUUAUUAAUUUGUAUCUCUUUAUUGUUGAUCACUCUUCUUUUUUUUUCUUUUUUUUUUCCUCUUUUUUGAUGGCAACAUCAUUUGUUUCAGCUUGCUUCUCCCCUCAGAAGAAUCAGAAUCCAUGUAUUUUUUCUUUCUUUCUUUCUUUCUUUUUUUUGAUUUUUUUGGGGAAGGUUAUGUUUUGAAGGGGGUGGUUAAGAAGAUCCCUCUCCUUCCUUUUUCCUUCUCCAUAUUUGAAAGGUUUAAUCCUUUUGCAUCUUUGUAAUGUUAUUGAGAACAAUUAACAAGCCAAUUAGCUGUAGAAUAUUCUUGUAGCUUCAAUUUUGUCUGACACAAGUUAUAUAUCUUUGAAUAUAUACAAAAUGUCACUGUAGAGAUUUUUCCUUGAAUUACUGUUGAAAAAGGAAUUUCACCUCUCUUUCCUUGUCUUAAUUAGUCAAUUGACUCAUGAAUAAGUGAAUAAUCGCUGGUCUACUGAGACCAGCUUUCAUUUUCUGAAAUGAUGGGAGCCUCUCCUCAGCAGUGGGAUAGUAUACAUAUAUUUACUUCUUUGAAUUACUUGUUUGAUUGUUCAAAAGCAAAAUAGCUUUUGGGAUUCUUUUAAUAGGGCAAAGUGUGUGCAGUAGUCCUUUUAACAUUCCCAAUAUUAAUCUUUCUCAAAAAAAAAAAAAAAAAAAAACAUUCCCAAUAUUAAUUGCAACUUGGUAUGGUGCAUACACUUUUCACUUUAAUAUUUUGCAGCUAAUUUCUGAACCUUAAGAUAUAUAUGUACGCCACUUCAGUCACAAGACCAUCAAAAUAAAUCUCAUUUCACCAAAUUACUCAUUAAUUUUAGCUUUGUUUCAAACACAAUUUAAAAAAUUAGCUGAUAAGACAAAUUAUUAUUUUUUUUUUAAAAAAAAAAUCAGAAUCUGAAGUGCACUUUCCGGAGAAGUGAGUUGUACAAUAACCAAGUGGUAAAUGGUAAUAUGAGGAUAAUACACUUGCUAUCCAUAACAUUUUAUAUAUUUAUCAGCCCAAUCUCUCUGCUCCUAAAUGUCAAAAUGAGGUAUAUAUUUAUGUACAUUGUGUAAUGCAGCUGUUUAAUGCCUUUAAUAAAAUGAAUAAACUAUUUCGACCACAUACGUGUGUUACUAUUUUUUAAGCAAUGUUUUUUAUAUACCUCAUUUUGACAUUUAGGAGCAGAGAGAUUGGGCUGAUAAAUAUAUAAAAUGAAUAAACUAUUUCGACCACAUACGUGUGUUACUAUUUUUUAAGCAAUGUUUUUUAUAUACCUAAAAUUCAGGUAUAAAUUUUACACGUUAUUCAUCUAAUGACCAAUAUUUUUACACUAAUUUAUCAAUCUUCUUUUUUCUUUCAGUAUCCAAAGGUUUUUAAAAAAUUUCUAAAUUCUUGUAUAUAUAAAAUUUAUAUCUUACUUUUGUGCGUACAAAUAGCCAGUAACUCCUUUGGAGCAACACGGAGCAAUUAAUGAUGGUUGACAUGGUGCUAUUUACUUUGAGAUAAAAAUAAUAUAAUAAUAUGAUGACUUUUUUGCCAUAUUUAUUACAAAGUAAGAAAAACAGGGGAUUACUACUUGGUAUCAAGAUUAGUUGCGAUUAAACAGUGUCCUCAGUAACUAGGAUAAGACCAAGCACAUCCAUAUUUAUUUGUUUGACCCAAACAACACAUACCGGGUUCUGAGCCAGAUUGAUUUUACUUCUCCUUUGUUUUCAGUUAUAAUUAUCUAUAAUAAAAUAUUUAACAAUUAAGCCCGUUUCAAUUUUUUUUUUUUUUGUUUUUUUGUACCAAAAAUGUGAUUCCGAGGCCGAAAAGUAGAAAUAGCACUAAAGAACUUCUGAUUAUGUCUAGAAAAGCUAUUGAGGAGGAUGCAAUAUAAUGUAUAUAUAUAUAUAUAUACACCUCAUUAAAACAUACUAUUCUCUGUAACAGGGCCAAACAAGCACCACGAGAGUUGAAUUUUAAGAAGCGAAAAAGAAAUAAAAAAUGUUUUAACUUGGCAGGUACUAACAAUUGGGUUGGCUGGGUCCAUAUAGGAGCUAAGGUUACUUUUAGGACUAGUUUUAUUGUAACGCCCAAAUAAUUCUACACUGAAUAAAAAAAUAAGUUUGACUGGAUUAUAUGAAAUCUCGCACGCUAAUAAUAUUAAUUGGAUUUAUACAUUUUGAGCUGGUGGUUUAGAUCCAAUGAGUUAUUAUUGCUAGUUGGUCAGAUCUGUACAAUUAGUAUCAGAGCCGAAUACCAGCCAAAAAUGUAAGAGUUGAGUGCUAUGCGGCGUAAAGUGCUACACCAACAAAUUUGAUGAGAGUCACCUCUUGAAUCCGUAGGAGCCACCUUUAGAACGUCAAAGAUUAAAACAGAGAGAGUUUGUAACGUUUCAAUAGUCCCAUAUCGGAUGAAAAAAUGACUCUGAUUAGAUUAUGUGAAGUCUUGCACACUAUUAAUAUUAACUCGGUUUAAGUAUUUUGGACUGGUGGUUUGAAUCCAAGUUAUUAUUGCUAACGGAUUGGUCGUUAUACUUAAUAUACUUAAGAAAACUAUCAAUCCUAGGAAGUCACAGGGGAAAUAAACAAUUAAUCUCCUUAGGUCACAGAUUGAAGGCCUAGUUUUACAAUAAUCUCCAAAGUUUAUCUUGAGCCAGCAAUGUAAAAACAUGACCACAUUUUCCAAUACCCACUGAAAGGGCAAGGGGAAGCUAUUUGCAAAGUAAACAGCUGUAGCAAAAGGCAGAAGCAUUUCCUUUGCUCAUUAUAUUCCCCUAAUUCACUUUUGUAUGCCCUGUAUCUCAACAAUAGAACAAAUAGAGCUGGUCUUGCAGUGAUAUGCUGGUGUAGAUUCUCUUCUUAGACAAGCUUGUCUACUAAAAGUGAGGAUUUAGUACUCUAAUAAGAUGUUAUGUUCAUAAAUUUUCUAAUAAUCCUGUAGAACUAACCCUUAAAUCAUUGGUGAGCAUAACACCACAUAACCCAAAUAUAUGUCAACAUGAGAUGUAGCCAAGAAGAAUUUGGGAAGAGUUGGCAAAACCUUUUUCUCGGGCUAAGUAACAACCACAUGCGGACGCAGGUACUAAAGGAAUACUUAACCGGAGUUUUGCGACUCGCAAGCGAGAUAACGAAGGUAGUAAUGGUUGAUUAGUUAAAUGAAACAUGUAGGAGAGCAUAAGACAUUUGAGUUGGCCCAUCAUUUAUUUAAAAGGUCAUGGUUCCCUAAUAUGUUGGUCAAGAAAAGCAAAUUAAUGAGAUUAAGAGGUUGGCCCUUACUAUCUAUAGAAGCUUGCAUGAGAAUGAUAGGAAAAAGGAAGUGAAAAAAAAUGGUGGAACAAUUACUGUGUAUGCACAACAAUCUCUGCUUUGCAAGUUGUUUUUGUCGUGACAAGUGGAGGCACGAAAAUUAUUUUAUUCUUUGAAAUCUACUAAAAGAAGGGAUGCAGCACGAGGACUUGGACUUCUGAAGGAUCGACCCUAUUAGCUAAUACUAUUUUCGCCCAAGCACACCUACCUAACCACACCUAAUUAUGGUGCUCUGGUAGGAUCAGAUGGUUAAGUCCAGGGAUGAUCACAUGUGGUAGGACAUUAACUUGGAGUCAUAGAAGCUCAAUGUGUGAUGCACAGAACUUUGUAAACUAUCAAGUUAAACAAUAUUAACUAAAAUCUGAUUACAGUUUACGUAGAAUAACAGGGGAGUCCAAAUUCUCAUCUAGAACAAAGAAAUUUUAUUACAGAUGUCAAUAAAGUAUAUAUUUGGCCGAGUUUAAAUACAUAUAUAAGUCCGAUUAAUGGAUUUACACUCUAUUUCUAAGUUCUCAUCUUGUUCGUACUCAAAAGAUCAAGUAUGCAUGUUUUUUAGUAUGUCAUAUUCUUAACAACAGUAACUUCGUAUGGAUUAUGUGAAUAGUUAGUUAAUUGCUUUAAGGACACAAAAAGGAAAACUCAUAAAUUAUAAAAGAUUGCAAAAUGCAACUAAUAACAUAGAAUUUUCCACAGAACAGAUAAGCUUGUCAUAUACAAAUUGAAUGGCAUUCAAUGUGCCUCAGCAUCUGACAUACUUAAUAUCAUAACAAAGCAACAAUGUGCACAACUGUGUUCACACAAGGAACCUCCACCAAAAGUUGGACUAAUAUUGGAAUAUUACAAGAAUAUCAGUUUUGGGGUCAAUAAAUAUUGAAGCCCGAAACAAGAGAAAAGAAUAAUCAGGUGGUUCAAAAGGUGAUUACAGAAUUUAAAAGUAGAGUCCAAAAAGUUACAGCAUAAUAGCACAUAAUUAGCCUGCAAUAUAAGUCAUUUUGUCGACAAUAAUUAACAAAUGAGCUACUUAAAAUGCCAUGCAUGAUACAGCAACUUAAACUUUUUCCAGCGUAACAUCCUCCAAAAUACAUUACUAAAUAAUCGCAAAUCAUUCUCCAUCUAAUGCAGCUAAUGUCUCAGGGUUCAUGUAUCAGUUUUUGAUAGGCUCAAGUCUUAGAUCUCUCCUCGAAAUAAAACAUAUUUAUAUAGGUUGUCAUAUGUUGUCAUAGUCCUUUGUAAUAGCUUCCAAUAUAUCAUCUGUCUUUUCUGAUCAGUUUCUCGCUAAAUUGGUAUCUUUCGCAGCUCUUUCAAAAUAUUUCAUGAAAUUCUCUCUUUUCCUUUGUACCGCUCAUUAUAUAUAGACUCUUCUAUUUGGCUAGUUAUUAUUGAACUAAAAUAGAUUCAAGUUUCUGCCCCGCGAUAAUAGAUUCAGGAAGCUAAUAAAUUAAGUUGGAUUAGCCUAAUAAGCUGAGUAGCGAUGUGGCCCACAAUAGACCUAAUGACAAAAGACCCAACAAUGGACCCAAUGUUCAGGUUGGUUGAGUCAGGUUGAAGAUCGCGAGCGUUGUGGCUAAGUUCUUAAGUAUGAUGGAUGCGUCUUUUCUAUCAGUACGUAUUUUUGGGAUAAUCGAUUAGCGCUUAGGAUCUACACCUUCAAUCAAAACAUGCCAAUAAUUAACAUAUCAAUGUCACAAAAUUAAAAUACUGAUGCAAAGAUCAGUGACCACUGUUGCACUCUAGCCACAGAACAGCCUGUCAUUUGAAUUGACUUCAUCGACAUCUACAACAAAAAAAAAUCAAAAAAAAAAGGGGUAAUGGUUGAGGUUGACAAAAUGUUACUCGAGAUUUAUCGAGAAGGUCAACUCCAUUAGCCAUUUAAUUGUUGAUUAAAUUAAAUAGGAAAGAAAAAGAAGUGAAAUAUAAUUACAAUCAGAUAAGCCCCUGCAUAGGUGAUGCACAAAAGUACUUAUAGUAGACUUGCAACUUUAGGACACCUUGAAUUAAAAAAAAGCUUGUAUUAGGAAAGUAAACUAUUUAUAUAAUUAGCUAAUCAUUUAAUAUAUAUUGGUUGUGCGUGACCCUAUCAUAUAGUUUUCAGCGAAGUAUUGUAUAUGAGAUACGUAAGAGACUUGCCAAUCACACUAUAGAUUUUUUUAAAUAAAGCCUUCUUGCUUGUAGUUUAAGGACACCCCAUAAAAUAAACAAAUUUCUCAAGAAGGAUCUAAUUGUUAUUAACACAUCUUAUUUCAUUACGAUAAGAUGUAACUACGUCCAUUAAAAGUAAUAUAUUUAGCAACAAAAUAGUACCUUGGUUUUCUCAUUACAAUUAUGGAUAGGCGAUCAUUCCUAAUAAAAGGAAAUAAAUAUCUACACUCGGAAGACUCUCGUAUUCUGUCGCUCUUUAAAGAAGUUGGUUGAUAUAUCUCAUGGUAUGGUCUGCGAAAUUUGGAUCUGCUUCUCGAUUUAAGCGAACAAUAUGUGUUAUGAUCUACCAGCAUCUUUAAAUAAAAAGGAACCAAAAACAAAAGAGUAUGUUCUCUAGUUAAGCCCAAAUCCUUAAACCCUAGACUCUACAUGAGGAAUUAUCUACAACAGGGUGGGAAACAGCUAACAUUGCAUGAAAUUUAAUGAAACUACAAGCAAGCUUCCUACAAGGAAUCUCAACGUUCUUGGGUAUUGUGCAAAAACUUAGGUACAUAAUUUUUCUAUUUCAGAGGAAUUUUCUACUUUCCUUUCCCUCAAACUUAUCACAAAAAGACACUAAACACAAUAUAACCAAAAAUACUUUAAGUUUCUUUUCACAACAGUGCUCGUUGCCAACCAAAGCUAUGGAAAAAAGUUAUGGUGCAAUCACAUAAAAUUUAUACUCUCUUAUCUUUAUAUUCAUCAAAAUACUUGCAACAUAUAAAUCGAAACUAAAACCACUAAACUAUGCUCCCAAUAGGAAAUGUGGUGCAAAAAGGCUAAAAUUUAACACAUAUAGUAAUAGUAAUAAUAGAGUAGGAGAAUAUUUCUGCAAACCAAGAUGAGUGGAGAGUGUGUGCAAUUCCCCACCCAUUAUUAUUGUUAUUAUCACUAUCGUUCCAUUAAAAACAAAAAGGUAUUGUGUGUUCUCUCUAUGUCGUGGUCAACGGUCUAAGGCCUCCGCAUUGAGAGAGACAGAGAGAGAGAUGCUAAUUAAUUUACGGCUUAUAACUCUCCACGACGCCGAAGUUGCUUUUUAAUUUACUACUUGAAAGGUCAAAAAUAAAAAAAAAAAAGAAAAGAGAGAGAGAGAGAGAGAGAGAGAGAGAGAGAGAGAGAGGUGCUCUACCUUUAUUAGUAGCUUGAUUUUAAAAAAAAUUUAGAAUGCAUCAAUUAUAUUAUAUUAAUAAUGCGGCGUUCUUUAAUCAAUUAAAUAAUUUUUUAAAAUUUAUCCAUCUCAACGUAAUUAUAAAAUUAAUUUAUUUUUAAUGAUAUGCUAUAAGUAUGAUAUAGUACACUAUCUCCCUAACUUUACAUUGCGCUGAUAGCCACUAAACUUACUAAUUACCUUUCGUUAAAAUAUUUCUCAUACUCUCAAAUUUAAUUAACACGAUUCUGAAUUUUGAAGACAUUUAUUUACUAUUAAUCCUUAUCUUAGAGGAAGAUUUGCCUGUACAUCUGCGUAUCAUGAAUUUAUCCACUUUUUAUUUAUCUAAUGCUUUUGUCGAAUUUUAAAAUAAGAAAAAGGAUAAGUGCUAAGAGAUACAUGAAGCAUGUCAAAGAGGUACAUCGGAUGCAGACUAAUAAAUUUAUUUUCCUCUUUUUUUGUGAUAGUAACUAACGAUAAACACUGAAAUAAAACCAUUUUACAAGUUUGGAAUUUUGUUAGUUAAUUCGCGAAUUAUUAAAAAUCAUUAUUAAAUGGUCCGUUUAUAAAUUUUUUUUUCUAAAAAAAAAAACUAUUCGCGAAUUUUUAGACCGGCCAAAUAAUCUGCGAAUUAUUCACAAAUUAUUCCCGAAUUAUUAAAAAUCUAAAUAAAAAACUUAUAAUUUUUAUAUUUAAAUAUAAAUUACCUUAUAUUUUAUAUUUUAAACUGAAUCUAUUUUUUAAGCUGAAUUUUUUAAUAAAUUAAAAAAUAAAAAAAUAAAUUUUAUACGUAUUAUAUCCGUACUGAACUUUUGUCGAAUCCGAAUUAACUAACUGUGGUACGAGGACGCAAUGUAAACAGAGCAAAAGUUUCGGGCAAUUUACGCGAAACAUAUACGACUCCGCCCGCAGUAAUCUGGGCUCCUCUGACCUUAUGGCCUAUAGCUGGUUUCUGGCUCGUCAGCCAUUUUGGCAUAGUCAAAAGUAUGGGCACGGAAAAGUGCUUUUCGAGUAAGUCAUAAUUCACAAUUAUGCUUAACAGAUGGAAGUUUAAAUGCAGUCGCCGGGGACCAGAAAAGCGCUUGUGCGCUGGUGCUUCAAAUCAACAUGACUUUUUCGGUGCCCUAAACACUGCAACUACUACGAUCAAAAUUUUCUGCAAAAAGCCGCCUAAUUGGUUUACAUGCGCACCACAAAUCGCUGCAUCAGUACAACAUUUAGGGCCGUUUAGUUGCAUGUAAUUAUAAGUGCACUGCAGUUGUAAUUGCAUACAAAUACAAAUUCGGUAUUUAGUUUGAUAUAUUUAACUCCAACUGCUGCAGUAGGAACUGCAGAAGAAGAUCCAACAAUGGAAGUUGGAACUACUUUAAGCAGAAGGUAAAUUUAGCUCUUUAAUUAUUUUUUAAACAAAAAAAUAUUUUUCUUUUUACAUUGGAGUUAAUCUCAACAUUAAAUAAUAAAAUUUUAAAUAUCAUUUCUCAACUGUAUACAACCAAACAAAUUAUUUAUAGUUACAACGCUUUCUACUGCAUCCAACUAAACAUGAUACAUGUAGUUGUGCAUUUUCAACUACAUAUAUCUUCAACUAUACUGUAUUUAUAAUUACAUCUAACCAAACGGCCUCUUGGUAUCACAAAAACAAGAGGAGUAUCCAAAGCUAUAUUCAUUUCGUAUUUCAUCAUGAAAAAGAAAAGAAAAUUGAAGCUUGAACUUCAUGUGCAAGAAAAUUCAGUUACUGUGAUUUAAAUCAAAGCCCUCAAAUAACUACACUAAUCAAUAAUGUAGAAACAAAUAUAGUUAGAGCUGCACCUUAGUUGUUCCAGUUCAGUUUUUUUGCAGUUGUCCUGAAAACCAAACCAACAGAGAUUGUAAGACAAAACAGGAUAUCAACUGAUCUGAUGAAUGUGGCGGUCACAAGAUGCAAUUAUUCGAUAUCAUCAAACUAAUACAAAAAUUAAAUUAUCAUAAACUCGAUUAAUGCUGUUUAUUCAAUUCUGAGAAAGUAAAAUUGAAACCAAACUUAAUCAACUAAAAUGACUUGGCUCAAUUUAGUAAAAUUUGGUUUAAACCGAGUUGUACGCUCACUUCUUACUACACAUAACAUGAGGAAAUUUUUCUUUAAUAACUUUUCUGUGCAAAAAGAACCGUCAGCGUAUUCUUUCCACUCAAAAAUUUAGUCCAAAAUUUUUUUUUUUCACAAAGAAGCUAAAAAGGUAAAAAGAGUAUACAUCCUGAUAAAAGAAGAUACAAAAUUUAGAUACUUCAAGGAACAAGCAGUUUCAUUUUGCAAGAGAAGAGUAUUCCAGCAUUUCUAAACAGUACAGAGGGAGGCAAAAAAAGGUUCUUGCAAAGUCCUACACCAUUUUAGCAGUUAUAGUAGCUGGCGACAAAGAACAAAAGCAUCAUCUGGCCAUUUUAUGCUGAUGAAGUAGCAUCCGGUCUUAAAUCAUUUCUUAACCAUAUGAGCAUACAAUACGCUGACUGUAAAAAAAUAAUAAUAAUAUGUAGAAACCGACCAAUGAGAAUGAUGCAUUGCACCAACAUAUUAUGACUUCGCCAAAUAAAGCAAUUAAUUGUUCGCAAGAAUACAUGCAUUCAGAUGUUAAUCCAGGUUCAGAGCAUCAAUUUCUAUUGAGUUUUUUUUUUCCACAGGAGCCAAUUGAAAAGAGACAGAUCGAUCUAGCAAAUCCAGGAUGAUCGGAAUGUUAUUCUUGUUAAUAGAGCCCAAUUUUCAACUAGUUCUACAUAUUCUCUUGUUAUGUACAGAAUGAGCUCGAAACUUCUAAAACAAGUAAUAUAAUACGCAAUGAGUAAUACUUUCAAUAUCUAAUCAAUGUCAUGCGUCAUUAUCAUGUUGUCACAAUAUGCAAUGCAUCUGGAAGUAAGGACAGAAAUAUGGAACUCUCGUUUAACAAAAGAUAACACCAUUGAUGUUAACACAAAAACCAAGAAAAGAAAGUCAACGAGGUAAGCGUACCUCAUCCAAAGCAAAGUCAAAGUUUAAAAUUCAACUUCUAUUUUAUCACCGAUAGUAUCCCGAAAUGUCAGCCUUAAACAAAGUUUGAAAAGCUCUCCCAGUGUGAGAUUGAUAGGACAGGUGGGAAAGUUUGAAGUGUUCUCCCAAUUAAACAGCUAGGGUGACCAAUAAUAUAUACAAAUUAGGAUUAAGAAGAACUAAUAGUGGGACCUAUGAUGCUGUAUGUGAGAAACUAAAUCAAAAUCCAGGACUUAAAAUAACCCGCUGUGCUGUCUCCUAAUAAUCCACUGGGGUGUUUCUUGAUGCACAACUGGUGCGGAAAAGUUUCAAGAUAGUGUUAAAAAUUACCAUGACAUCUCAGAUGACCAGGUCUUAGCACAGCUAUUAAUCAACAUGCUAAUCACUCCCUUGUACUAUUAAUCGUCCUGGACGACCUCGUCAACUAAUAUACAUCACUUCUAUUUCACCAACUAUUCAUCCUAUUGAUGGAAAGGUGAAUUGAAAUCCAAAGAUUCCUCUCGCAUACGGAACUACACGUACAUAUGUGACCAGCAUAAGUUACAAUCAUAUAAAUCGAGCGCAAAUUUUUUACAAUACCAUCAUAUGAAGCAAGGAGAUAAUGAAUUAAUGUGAAAUCAACUGGAGAACUCAAAGUGAAUUAAACCUUCCGAAAACAGUAAAUUAUUUCAGGAACAAUGCUCAUCAUGCUGAAGAUUAGCAUAUAUCGACUGCCAGAUCCCACCUGUUUUUCCGGACAUGCUUCACACCAUCGAGCUCUUUGCAGAGUGUCUAGUAGUGGCCGGGAAUACUGCAAAUGUAAAGCACUCAAAGCCAAGUAUAACUAUCAAUAGAGUAGAGUGGUCCAUAACAAAAAAACAAUCUAAAACUAGAGACAGACCCUAGAAGGCGUCGAGCGUUGAUUUGUAUUUCAGUGAAGGAAAUGAAAUGAGAGGAAAACUCCAUUUACUAUUUCUGACAAUAUAAAACUCUCUGACAAGAUAAUUCAAUCAGAAAAAUAUGUCUACAGAAGGACCACAAUACCAGAGCUUAUGGCCCAUUUGUUUGCAUCAGCUACAUGUAAGUUUCUAAGGCCAAAUAUUUUGCCGAACAAAGCCGAAUAUUAUACCAAAAUACCACAUGUGAUUGCUAUCUCAAGGCGAUUUAUAUAUAUCUUUCAGAAUUUCCUUAAUUGUUUGGCUUGACACCAUUUUCAAGUUAAUAUCAUAUUGAGUUACUGAAACUUAUCUCAGAUGCAAUGGUCAGAAUCAAGAAUAGUUACCAUUACUUCCUCACUUCCCAUCUCAAUUUAAUGCAACAUUAUAAGUUAUAAAAACAUUUAUUAAUGAGAAAUUGAAAAUGUUAGGAAACACUUCCAAAUUAACAUAGCCAUUAUGUUCACAGGAUCAUAACAUGUAAAGCAAGAGAGAUAUCAAAGCACAUCAUCACAUAUCCAAUGAACCAUUCGGAAACAUUUUAAAUCCGCGAUUACGCAUGUAAGAUCUCAUCUCACGUUCAAAGCAGCAUAUAAUUUUUCUCACCACGGCAUUUCCGGCCCUAAGUUGCGAAGCUUGAGCACAGCAGCAUCGACCGCAUUUAAACACCAAAUUGAAGGAAAAAAAAAAAAAAAAUCAUCUUCGAGAUCCAAAACCCUAAUGUAGUGAAUGGAAAGUGGUAUGAAACCCUUGGUUAAGGGCUCAAAGCGAAUUGAUUGGAACAGCAAUAAACAAAUAAUUAAACGAGGAACGGAGAAGAGAAAAGCUGGGUGAAUUUGGUUGAACCUUUUCCGAUGAUUCUAUGAACUGUAGCGUGUCGCAGUGAUUGGAAUGGUUUGGGAGCGACGUUGCUAGGGACACGCUUACACGCCGACCGCGAGGUGCUACGGGGAGAACCUAUUCGGCCCAUUUCCGUGCAAAGCCUGGACCGGAUUGGGCCGCACAAGAUCACGUCACCCACGACCUGGAUGUAUUAGUUUCUAAAUUUUUAGUUGCAAGCGCAUUGAGGAAAAGCACCCGCUUUAAUGCUUUGGUUCCGAUGUUGUUCAAAAGCAACAGAUUUCAGGGCUUUAGCGAAGCAUCCAAGCAAUGCUUGAUGCUUUUUCCAUGACAUUUCCCUAAAGGCCGUUUGAUAUUACGAAGCAUUUAAUGUUAUUAGACCAAAAGAAAUCCAAAUAAAAGUACAUAAAGAUAUGCAUCAAUGCUUUGUCCCAUAAAAAUCAUACGAGAAUCAAACUCCUGUAUGAUACACACAUCAUCACUUACAAAAACAAAACAAAAGGAGCAUCCCAUAGAAACCCUAGUUAAUAGAGCCGUUAUAUUACAAGAGCAGCAGCAUCGAAGGAGAAAUAAUCGAGCUCAAAUAACGAUAGCUUUUAUAUUCCAAAAUAAGAGCUUUCUUCACUGUACUCAUUCGUGUCGAAAACAUCACCGCUGAAUUUUUAUUUUCAUGCACUCGUAGUGCACGAGGUUGGAAUACACUGAAAUAGUGAAUAGGCUCUGCACCUGGAUUCAACUCAUUACAACACUAGUCCGCAAUUCCAGAGAACAUAAACCAAAGAUCCAGUAUGCAUCCCAGGAUAUUUGGUUAAAAAUAUACACAUGUAAUCGCUUGACACCGAGAGAACGAAAAAAAAAAAAAAAAAAAAUCCCAAAUCACUGAUGCAUUACCUGAGUUAAUAACACACAGCGAAAGUAUAAAGGAUACAAGAAAAGUGAUAGGUCAACAACAGUUAUUCAACAAAAGACAACUACAGUUACCAAAAGCACCUUAAUGAAGGACAAAGUUAAACAGUAAAAUUGUCUUUCUAACUAUCCAAAUAUUAGAAUGCCGGAGUAGAAACCUGCAGAGAAAACUUACCAAAACAUAUCAACUCGGAGAAGCUUUGGUCGCUCCAGUAGAAGCAGCGGAUGGCGGAGCAGCAGCAGUGGCAGCAGUAGAUUGAUCAUAAACCGCCCCUUGUCCUGUACUGUCACUAGAAUACGCAGGCGGCGGCUGUGAAGAAUACCCACCGCUACCAUGAGGAUCGGUAUAAGCCUGCGGUUGCUGCCCAUAUGCCGGCUGGCUGGUAGUACCUGCACCACCAUACGCUUGCUGUUGCCCGUACCCAGAAGGCGGAUAAGUACCAUAGCUGGAUUGAGUAGGCACUGGUGGCGGGCCCUGCCCAUAAGCUGAAGUAGGUGGAGGUGGCUUUUGGCCUUGUGGUGGGGGCUGCCCGUAAUUAGGAUAUCCGGCCUGAGCUGGAGGUUGGCCUCCGUAACCUGGCUGAGAAGUUUGAGGCAGACCAUAUCCUGAAGGAGUGCCUUGAGUAGGAUAGCUCACAGUAGUUGAAAGGGGAGCUUGUUGAGCUGAGGAACCUUCCUGAUUAGGGUUAGCAGCUGCUCCAUAACCAGGUGUCGUGCCAUAACCUUGCUGAUGAUCAUAGCCGGUUUGAGGUGCUGAUACUGGCUGAGAAUAACCUUGCUGUGGCGCUGGAGGAUAACCUUGCUGAGAAUAGCUAUCCUGCCCAUAGCCUUGUUGACCAACUGUCGACUGUGAAUAAGUGGAGUCGCCAUAGGAAUACUGAGAAUUGUAGGGCUGACCGUAAUUGUAACCAGUAUUGUCAGCAGGUGCAGAAGGCCCACCACUAGGUUGCUGUGUUUGCUGCUGGUUAUAGUAAUCAUAUCCGGUCCCUGGAGCAGAUUGCUGAGCUGGUGGAUUAGAGGGAUUGGAUUGGUCCCAACUGGACUGGAAACCACCGGAUGCUGGUGAGGGAUAGCUUUGGUACUGUUGUUGAGGCAUGUUAUACUGAGGGGGUGGACCAGGAUAAGCUCCAGGUUGCAUGUACCCGUAGCCAGGUUGCUGCAUGGGGGGCGCCCCUGGUGGGCCCCAUGUUGUCGGGGGGCGGGGAGGGCGGUACCCUUGUGAAGAGUAGCCUCCAGUCAUGGUUGGGUUCCUGACACGAUUCUGUACAGAAAUUGGAACAGAUAAGCAUAUGCAAUUUUAGUAUGAAAACUGAAGAUGAAAAGGAGCAUAGAGUAUCUCAUGAUGUGCAAAGAAAUAUACUCAGAGAAACAAAUAUAAACACAGGCAAAUCACAAAACCAGGAUAGUAAGUUGACAGCAUCUAUUGGGAAUGGAAAGAACAACUUACCAACUCAGAAGGAAACAUUUUUCAAGCAGCAUAGGUGGGUGCCCAUCUAUCCUCUCCCCAGUCCAAAACUAAUUGGACUGACAAAAAAUAUGCAAAAGCUAGACAAAAUACACUUUGCACAAAUGCAAUAUACAAUGCAAGAGGGAACAAAGUUCUUAUGUUCAAGAGAACAAACCAGGAGAAAUAUAUAACCAGAUCAUCUUAUUAAGAGUGUACAUUAUCAAAAGGAGAGGCUAAAUAUUGGCAAAAACAAUGUAAGAUAAAUAACAGAUAAUUAUUUAUCAGAUAAUUAUUUAUCAGAUACACAAUUAACUCUGUCAGCUCAACAACCGGAAAGGACCAACAGCAAAAGAGAUGUCUCAAUAAUUUCAAAGUGUAGAACUUUAUAUUAUUUAGAUGAUCACAGAUUCCAUAAUAAUAAAGUAUGCACGAGAAAAUACUACUACCAUCAACAAGGAGCAGCAAAUUGAAACUGGUAACAUUUAAAAUAAACUACGGCUUAAUAUGUAAAUAAGAUAUUAGAAUCUGUAGUUAUACAGAUAACAAUAAAUAUAGAGGGGGGGAAAAAGUAGAUUAAAAAUCCAAAAGGUGCACUCCAAGUGAGAUGUUGACUCUGGUUUGGACACUAUUUGUACCCUGCAUCAUAUAGAGCUGGAGAAGACACAGACCUUGUUGCAGUAGUAUCAAUCUGAAAUCUGGAGCAACGCUUCAAAACAUAUAUAUACAAUAUGCAUGCAUAUCAAGUAAAAGACAUUCUGAUAGUAGUUAUUUAGUUCUACUCUAGCGCAACCUAUAAAUACUUAAACAAGCCUUCAGGAUAGCAAUUUUCAGGUGGCUGAAUAUUACAAGAUCGAGGGAACAAACAAGACAUAUGAUGCCUGCCAAUGCAGUGAAGUGGAUCAUUGCAGCAAGUCCAAUUAGAUAAACAGCACUACAAAGAGAUGCAGCAAAACAGUCCUUCAAGAUAUAGGAAUUCAGUAAUUGAACUCAGGAGCAACUAUUCAGCCAUUAAUGUUAAUCCAUUAUCAGCAGAAUAGGUUGCAUAUUAGAAACUAAAGAAGGUAGUGCAACAAUAAACAGCAUAGUAAACGGAAAAUAUAAGGUUAAAGGAUGUCUCAACAGAGAAUUGCCAACAUUCGAAGGAUUAAAAAAGGGAAAUCUUCCAGAAGCCAACACCGACUAAUGAAUAGGUAAUUUUCCAAUUAAUUUUGAGCAUAUAUCCAGUCUAUUCUACAUUAUUAUAUUUCCAGCUUAAAUGUCUAUAUCUAGCAUCAAAAUUCACACAGGCAAGAAUUAGGCAUGACAUUUGAUACUUCGAUAAUAAUUCUAACUGGCCGCUGGAGAGUUGACUACUAACAAGUAUAUACUUGCUUCAGAUUCCGAAUUUAGAAAAAGCUUACAAUGGAAAAUCAGAAAAACCGGUCUCAUAAUCAAUAAUUUCCAUCACUUUAUUACCCAAACUGUGAAAAAAUAUAAUAUAAAUUGAAGGGAUCAUUUUUUCAUAGAUUGAUAACAUCCAAAUCAGCUAUGAACCAUUCAAAUACCGAGGAUAGUCGGGAUCAAAAGAAUGUGGUUAAAAAACCAUUCAAAUACCAAGGAUAGUCGGGAUCAAAAGAAUGCCAACCACAAUGCUCAAUUUGUAAUUGAUAUCCAGAACAAAAGAAAUAUGAUUAUGCCCGAAACUUACCAAAUUUUAUUGAAGUGAAGAAGGCUGCAAAUUUAUGAAGCAUACUGUGAUGUUCACAAUUUACAGCAAUGCCGUCUUACUGAUUAUAAAUUAUACUAGCCAACACAGUAAUGACACUACAAAUUAUUACUUAUCACUACAAAUAACUAUUCAACUAAUUGAUAAACCUCAAUUCAUUAAUGAUGAUUAAAAACAACUUAUACCGAUAAGGAUUCCAAUAGAGAAGUUUAAGCUGCAAAUUUCUCCCUUAAAAUAUCAAUAAGCAAUUAUCAGAAGUCCAGGUAUAAUACCAUACCAGAGCCAAGCCAAGGAAAACCAACAAUAGGUUGCCUAUACCCUUGCAAACUGUUGGCAGUCACCAACAUGUUGCUAAUCCUACAAUAAUUCUUAAAACACGAAGCUCAAAAUUAUGUCAGUGACUAUUCAUCUGGCAAAAAUUACUAUUCAGUACUUCAAGCCAACAUAUCCUAAAAGGCUCACAAUUAACCAAGCUGGCAUUCGUAAGGAACUCUGACAUUAUAUCCUAGAAAAUCAUAUAAUAGUGCAAAUAAAAUGCCAUAAGAACAAUCAUAAAUAAAAAUACUGAUAUUUGAUGAUUAUGCACCGUAAGAAAUUAAGUUGUUUCCUCAAUUUUUUGAAGUUACAUAUAGGAAAGAAAAAGAAACAUUACAGAUGAAAAAACUAGCUAGAAAUUUGCAGAAAAAAGGCAAACAAAACAAAUACAGCAAAGUGCAAUAACAUGACUCCCUUUACAUUACCUCAAUGAAUGCACACUAUGUUAGGAAUUAAUUAUUGGUAAAAUAAGAAUCAUUAACAAAAGAAUAAGGUAUUCUAACAUAAUGUCAUCCAAAGCCACUACCACGUGCAAUCUACAAAUUAUGGUAAAACUAAAAUUUUGAUUUAUUUUUCCCAUUUACUAUCAUGUCUAUCAAAAUUAACACAACCAAAUCUAAAAUGCAAAAUGAAUUUCCCCUACUGCAAAUUUCACCCCCUAAUGCUUACUUUAAUAUUUGCAGUUAUAAUCUUAAUGUCGAUAUCCAUAUGUGCAUAAACAAUUAAUUAGCUAUACUAACAGGAAACAAUUUGAAAUUGUGACUAUCAUCACUGAACACAACAGUUGUCCAAAUUUGCAUACCUCACUGUUAACGAUUUCAUUCACUAACUGCUUUCCUGCUUCAAUUUGCUCCUUUGUACCAUCUAUAUAAACUGUUCUUUCAGUCGAUGUAUCACCAGGAGGCAGAUGUAAAGGUAUCACCUAGAACCAAAGGAAGCAUAUUUAGGCAACUGACAUGCAAUGUUGACAUGAGCAUAGAAUUGAAAAGCCGUUAUAAUGAGCAGAAAAAACAGCAACUAUAAAAAACAAUAGGAACAACAAUACUACUGUUAGAUCUCAGUCCAGCAUCAACAACUCAAAAACAUUCAAGUGACCUUCAAGCCAAUGCUACAAGCAAUUUUGAUCUUUACAAACAAAAAAAAAGCUGCUAAAAUAUAAAAAGCAAUGUUUUUUCAAACUGUGUACGGAAGAACUUUCGCAACAAAUUUUAUUAGGCUUCAAAGCAGAUAAAUUGAAUACAAAUUAUUUACCAUCAACAGAUGAAGCACAAGAACAAAGGCAUCAAAACAUGUCAAAAUAGAUUGCCAAGUUUUCUGAUCCCAGAAAAAUAAUGUCAACCAACAAUGAGGAUCAAUUAAUCUAUGUGCUUAACAAAAGCCCAACAGUGGAACAUCAUAAACACACCAUUUUAAUUUUUACCAUCUAGUCAUCUAGUUUAUACAAAUCAAUUAACAUGGAAAUUAACAACCUUCAACUACAUCACCAAAACUCAAACUUACCUUAUACAAUAACAAUAACAACCUCACAUAGUCAAACUGUCAAACUAAUGGUGCUUGAUAAAAAGUGAAGAACUAAUCAACACAACGAGCAUUUAUUAAAUAGGUUAAAAUUGAAAGAGGGUUCUCACCUGAAUACGGGCGCCAGAUUUUGCCUGCAUGCUCUUAAUACUUUCUCCACCUUUCCCAAUAAUCAAACCAACCUGUAAUUAUGAAUUAAUCAAAACCAAAUGACCAAGGAAAAUAAGAAAAAAUAAGUCAAUAGACAGAUUUACGCAUACCUUGCUAUUAGGAAUUUUCAUUUGAAAUUGUUCUGCACCAGUUUGGGGACCACCAAAUAGACGAGCAGAAAUAAUGCCAGAGCCUCCAGAAUCAGCCUACAACAGUGAUAAGAAAAAAAUGUGAUAUAAACUUCAAGAAAUUAAACCUAAUAGACUAUUUAUAUAAAUAAUACCUAACAAAUUGUGAAAAUGUUACCUCAGCAAGCACAUCAUUAAUUAACUGCUCAGCCUUGCUAAUUUGUUCGGAAGUGCCAGAAAUUUCUACAGCUCUUGUCUGAGCAUUCGGAUCAGCAUCCAUAUCUCUAGUUACUUGAAUCUUGGCUCCAGACUGCAGUUGAAGAUAUCUAAUAGUCUCUCCACCUUUUCCAAUGAUAACACCAACCUGAGAUGUAACAAAAAUUGGAUAGCUCAAGAACAUCUAUUCCGAUGAUUCUCACAAACUAAACAGAAAAAAGCAUUUGAUGUGCAAUUUGGACAGACUAAAGGACAGAAAAGUGAACAUUACCUUUCCAUUCGGUAUAUCUAUCUUUUUACUUGAACCCUGAUAGCCAUAUGUCGGAUAUGCUGGGCUAGCGAGCUGAGAAGGUAGUGUGGGCUUCUGCAAAUGGUCUGAAGCAAAUAGAAACCAAAUUUUGUUUAAACAAUCGAACAGUAAAGCGUCACUAUGAGGAAAUUUUACACAUUUCAUAACAGAGAUAGAUAGAUGAACUUUAAGCUUCUCGAAUGAAUUACAAUCCUAGUAAUUCAUUCUAACUUUCUUAGUGAAUAUCUUUUUAUGCCAAUCUACUACUGUUUUUUCACAGGAUCUGAUGCCAAGCAUGAAACUCAUCAAUGUCAAUAUGUGGAUAAAAACAGUUCUCGAGCAUAAUUUAUUCAUCAAGAAGUGAAUCAAAAAUAUAACGUAAUCAAGUAUUUAUAGAAAUUUUACACCAUCAACGUUCACAAAACAGGUUUAAGCAGUACAGAUCAGAUAAAAACGAUAAAUGAAACCCUAGCAUAGCAAAUCUGAGAGAAAAACCCUAGAUAACGCGACGAGGCAAUAAUAAACCACAAAAAUUAACUAGCACCAGAUUAACCAGAUCGUAAGAUGGUUAAACCUGGCAUUCAGAACAAACAACUGAUAUAUAUACCAAAAAUUAAACCGCAAAAUAGUUAGAAAGUAGCAUACCACUCCCCUCAGUGGCGCCGCCACCGUUCUCCAGUUUGGGGCGCUUCGCCUCGGCGUCGCUGAAGAGCCGCGCCGCGAUCUCCUGCGCCCGCUGCUUCGCGAGCUGGAUCCCAUCUGGUGGCGGUGGGACGCUGUUGUAGGACGGCGUCGCCGCCGCGCCGGAUCCGCUCUCCGGCGGCGGCGGCGGCGGCGGCGACGAGAUCGGCGCAGAGAAGCCCGUUGGGCGGCGCGUUGGUGGCGCGGCCGCGGCGGACGGGUCGUCGAACUUUCGCUUGUUAUCCGGUCGAGAAGAAGAAUAAGAGAGCUCUUCCGCCAUUAGAGGUCGUCGUCGAGGUGUCGGAGCUCCUGAUAAGACGAAGAGAGAGGAAACGAGGCGAAAUCGAAUCGGAAACCCUAGCGGGGGUGGAACGGUGGGUGAUAUUUAUAGGGGUAAAUUGCACGAGGGUCCCCGACGUUUUAUUUAGUUUUCAGGGUGAUCCUCCAUCUUUUUACUUUUACAAUUCUGUCCUCAGAAUAUGCUUGCCUGUGCUCUUUUAUUAACAUGGGUUUGUGAAACUUAAGGCAGUAUAUUUCGCAGAGUGGAGAGGGUAAAAAGUGUUUUUAAACCGUAAAUAUAUAUAUUUUUAUUAUUUAUAAUUUUAUUUUUAAAAAUUAAGAUUUCGUUUGAAAUAGUAGAGAGAUUGUGUUAUGUGCGAUAAAAAUAUACGAUAAAAAAAAUACCUUAUUUAUUUAUGUAUAUAAUAUUGCGCUCCGUAUAUCACGAUAUGUCGAUUAUAUGGAUUAUGAUAUAUUUUCUGCUGUCUAAAUGCUUUUUAUUUAACUUUAUUUUAUCUAAUAGUAUUAAAUAGAUUUUAAUAUCAAACUAAUUCUAAUUUAUUAUGAGUGAUGCUAAAAUCAAUAAUAAAAAAAUAACUGUUGUAAUUUUUUUUAUUCUUUUAUUUAUUUAUAUAAACUUUAAUUAUAAAAUAAAUAAAAAAUGAAAUAACUAUAAUUUCAAAGUUAUCAACUUUUCUAUUAAUUAAAAAGCAGCAGAAAAAUAAAUAAAUAAAUCUUUACAAGUUGGUAAUGUAUUAUAAAAAAUAAUUUUUUUACAAUUGAGUCUUUUCUUCGAUUGUUUUUAGAGACGCUCCUAGAAUAAUUACAAAAAUCGAAUUAGAUUGUAAAAAUUUCAUCACAGCCUCUUAUUUCACUAUCAUUUUCUACAAAUAAAUAAUUAAGACAAGACGAUACUACAGAAGAUUUUUUUUUUUUUUUUUACAAUUGAGGGAAAAAUAAAAUAUAGUGAGGGCAGUUUCGUCAUAGCAAAGUCCACAUUGCGUUCUUAACGGAGAGAGGGAGAGAGGGAGACAGGGAGAGGAGAAAGGCUUCGAUAGACAACACGAAAGAGGGGAAAAUAUAGAACGUCGCAACACCCCACUCUCUCUCUUUCCCCCUCUGCUCGCCGGAACCCUCAUCGUAUCCGGUCGCCGGAGAACCCACGCCGCGGAACGGGAGCCAGCGAUCUCCUCCUCCCCACUCCGGGGGUCGCGCUCGAGCUCCGUUGGAUCGUUGAUGCGGGCGGAACCCCGGCGGGAUCUCGCCGGAACCCUAGUCGCGAGAUGAACGGGAGCAGCGCCAAGGACGCCGAGCGGGCGCCGCCGCCGCUGGAGUGGAAGUUCUCGCAGGUCUUUGGGGAGAGGGCGGCGGGAGAGGAGGUGCAGGAAGGUAACGAUCGGAACCGCGAUCAUGAUCCCUUUUGUUUAGGGGGGGAAUUUUCGAUCGAGUUUCUGAAAUGGUUCUUAGGGUUUUGCUUGGAAUUUGGAAUGGUUCAGUGAGGAAAAUAGAUAGCACGUUUUCUGGAUGUCAAUAUGUUACUGCACUUGUAGAAAUUGGAAACUAGUAGGAUCGUUUUGAUGUGUUCUCUCUGGUGAUAAUGAUAGGUUUAUUCUGCAAACAGAAUUAUCGAUUGUUAUGUUACUUGCAUAUUUGUGUGUUCUCUCACUUUUUGUGUGAUUUUUCUGCUGAAUAUCUCUGCAUUUUAUUUUAUUUUUAUUUUAUUUUAUUUUGUGGAAUUGGAAGACCCUAUAGAUAAAUAUCGUUUAUGUUCGUUGGCAUUUGUUUAACCAACUUCAAUUUGUCAACCAUCAAUUUUAGCUCAGGUUUCAUCUCUUCACUUUCCUCCUCUACUCGAAUGAAGUUUUCAGUAGGAAUAAAGGAUUUUAUUAUCUUUUUUUAAUCUAAAAUCAAUUUUAGUAUAAAUUGAUGCAUAAUUCAUGCAACUUGCGAACAACCCUGCAAAAAUUUCAGUAGGCCAAAGAAAGAAUUUAUAAGAGGGAGAAACAUAUCUUCCAAUUAUAUGUUUUAUUUAAUUAUUAUAGGUGUCCUAGAGCUUUCUCGAUUGGUAAUGAAUUGAUCGAUGAUGUACUUUUUAAGAUCAAUCCCUGUUGAUUUGUCUAGCUUUUAAUUCUUCAGCAUGAUGGAUGAAAUUGAUGAAUGUUAUUGCAGCUGGCCUUACUCUUUUGGUUCUUUAGCUUGUCGUGUUCUUUUGUUUACCAGUACUGUCCAUUUUGAUGAUUUUUUAUGUACUAUUCAAGUGAUAAAGUUCUUAAUCCAAGCAAAUGAUGUGUGCAGUUGAUAUUAUAUCAGCAAUUGUAUUUGAUAAAUCUGGAGAUUACCUUGCCACUGGAGAUCGAGGAGGACGUGUGGUAUUAUUUGAAAGAACAGACCUCAAGGAUGUAAGUUAAAAGAUUUCGUACAUUGGCACUUUUUUAGCCUUUUAUUUCCUUUUCAGAAGAAAAUUUAGAUUUAUGGCUAUUCAUUGUAGCAUGGUGAUAGAAGGGAAUUGGAGAGACAAGAUUAUCCUAAAAACAAGCAUCCUGAGUUCCGCUACAAAACUGAGUUUCAAAGUCAUGAACCUGAGGUAUUACAUUUUGGUUGAGUAAAUGGAGGAUGCUGUCUAUGUUGAUCAUUUUACUGAUUUUGCUGAUGGUAUUUUCAGUUUGACUAUCUAAAAAGCUUUGAAAUAGAGGAGAAAAUCAACAAGAUCAGAUGGUGUCAAACAGCUAAUGGUGCACUUUUUCUUCUUUCCACAAACGACAAAACCAUCAAAUAUUGGAAGGUAAACAUAAGUCCUAAUUUUUCUUGAGUCCUUUUUUUUUUUUUUGGUUUUAAUGGUGUUACUGUUUCAAUCCUUUUCAUCUUGAAAACUGUUGAUGGAGAUUUCACCUUGUUCACAUUGUUGCCCCUACAAUUUUUACACUUUCAUUGUGUUACUGUUUGAAUCCUUUUCAUCUUGAAAAUUGUCAAUGGAGAUUUCAUCCUGUUUCCCCUACAACCUUUUCUAAUUUUAUCAUUGUGCAUUCCAUUUUUUUUCUUUUCAGUAUUGCUGUGGCAUUUAAACUUCUCUUGAAGCUCAGUAUAUUUUAUCGUCCCUUUACUUUUUUGUAUACAUACAGGUGCAAGAGAAAAAAGUGAAACUAAUAACCGAAGUGAAUAUAGAUGCUUCCCAAGCUGUAGGGAAUGGCAGAAUUGCUCGCUCAAGCACAAAUGGUCCUACAACAAAUCUUCUGAAUGGCGGAUGCUCUGAAAGGCCCUAUAAUUAUCUGAAUAAUGACUUCUCGUUUCCUUCUGGAGGGUUUCCAUCUUUGCGUCUGCCCGUGGUAGUUGUACUAAGCUCCAUGUAUUGAGUAUACUUAAGUGAUGUGGGAAAGCUUAAACCUCAACGAGGUUAUUGAGUUUGGGAAUAAUUGCUUUCAUGUCCUCGCAAAAUAGUUUGUACGUGCAUGUGUCGCGAAAACACGUUUACUGCAUAUGUCCCUCCCAAUUCCUAAAAUAUUGCAAAUGGUUCCCUCCUUGUGAGUUGACUGCAAAUGGAUCGCUCCUUAUGAGUUGACUGCUAAAUAUUGGUCGUUAUCUUUUUAAAGACAAUUAUACCUUGAAAGAUAUCCUCCUAGAAAUAUUUGAGGAUGAUUGUUCAGAUUUUAUGCUUUAGGUUUUAGGAUCUUGGUUAAAAGCUUUACGAUUUAGUAUUAACUGUGUUUGUAAGAGCAUAAUGAUCGUUAAGAUAAAAAUUUGUUUCAACAAUCAACUGACAUGGGGGGGAUAUGUUUGCCAAUUUUCAAAAUCUAGGGGGAUAUGUAUGAUAAACUUAAAUUUGCAGAAAUAUUUUCGCAUGUAUCAAAAUUUCCAGGAACACAAUUGCUGAUGCCCUGAUAAUCUUUUAGAUUAGAUUCCCCUCUGUUCAGUCUCAGUUGUCUUGUGAAGUUACUAAUAUUUGCUGUAUUGGACAUGUAGGUAUCAAGCCAGGAGACAAACCUUGUUGCUAGAUGUAGAAGGAUAUACGCCCAUGCUCAUGAUUAUCACAUUAAUUCAAUUUCAAAUAACAGGUUUCUUUCUAUCUUUUCUAGUUAUUCUUAACUGUAUUUAUUGUGCUUUUCUUAGUUGCGGUAUAGAUUCUUGCCACUUAAACUGUUGCAUUGGUUUAUGAGUUAGCUUUGCUUAGUUUAGGUAUAUAAGAUUUCCGUUGCACAAGCUAACCGCAUGCACAUUUGUCACUCAUGUUUUCUUUUUUUUUUUCUUCCUUUCUUUAUUUUUGUCCUCCUUUUGCAGCGAUGGUGAGACAUUUAUAUCGGCAGAUGAUUUGCGAAUAAAUCUGUGGAAUUUGGAAAUCAGCAGUCAGAGCUUCAACAUUGUUGAUGUGAAGCCUGCAAAUAUGGAGGACCUAGCUGGUAACUAUUCUCACCCUUAUAUCGCUAUAAAUGUUCACCCUUAUAUCGCUGUAAGUGUUCAAUGCUACAAUUGUUAGUUACUCUUAAAAACUGAAAUUGCCUCUUAAAAACUGAAAUUGGCAUAAUAUCCAAAUUUUAAUUUCCCAGCUUGAAACCUGAAGUUUGCCUCCCGUGUCUAAUGAGCGAAUUAGCAAAUGCUUAUGCAUAAAACUAGUGAUUAAUUAGUACUUCUGUUUUCUGUAAUUCUCCGAAGUACUCUUUUUUUUUCUUUUGUUUUUUGUUGGAAAUAUUGUGCCAGACUUCUUGAAAAUUAGUGCAACAGCAGAUUUGUUUGCCAACUUCCAAUUAGGCCUUCUUGAUCAACCCUUUCUUUUUGGGUUGUUUUAAUGACUUAGCCUUCUUGAUCUCAACACUUUCCUUCAAGUUGUUUAAAUGUAUUAUAUAUUCUGCGCUCUUAUUAUUUUGUGCAAGAUUCCCUCUCUUCUCUUUUACCGCUUUCUAUCUGCAUUUCUGUUUGACAGCUUUUUCUUUUGCAACCGAUUCUUCUCUUUCUUUUUUGUUGUGUAAGAAAGUGUUCUUUUUUUUUUUUUCAUUUUUUGUUAGAUCAUUAACACUUCAAGUUUAUUAUCAGUAUUCCCUUGGUUUUAAGUGGUGACAUAUUAUUUACGUACUUUGACAUAUUAUCAGAGGUGAUAACGUCUGCUGAAUUCCAUCCAACCCACUGUAACCUGCUAGCUUAUAGCAGCUCGAAGGGCUCAAUUCGGCUUAUUGAUCUGCGUCAGUCAGCAUUAUGCGACAACCAUUCCAAGCUGUUAGUAGUUUCACUCAUUCUUUUGGCAUUGCAGUUAUUAGAGCAUCUUUCAGACUUUCAUGUAUCGUGUUAGCAAGAUGAUUGAUAACAUGUGACUGUAUUAACUUUGUCAAAGAUGUCAGGAGAACCCCUCAACUAUAGGCUAUCUUGAAAUAGGCCCCUCAACUUUAUCUUUGACUAAUGGCACCUGCUAAAUCUCUGUUUGUUUUGAGUUAAGUUAGUUUUGUCGGUUGAAAUUGGAAUUUUGUUGAACUCAAUGGCGAUUACAUUAAUGUUAACGACUAUUCCCACUUUUCAACUAACAGGACUAUGAAUUCUGUUAAUAGUAAACAGUUAGUGAUGGAACCAUUAACUUUCAUGGAAUCUUCAAUUCAAUUGAUGGAACUAACUAGAAUUAAAAUGAGCAAGUUAUAAGGAGAUGUCAAUCUCACAAAAAAAAGGUCAUUUAAGGGUUCUCCAGUACAUUACCUCUAUCUUUUAUUGAUUGACUUCUUAUCCAGUACAUUACCUCUAUCUUUUAUUGAUUGACUUCUUAUCCAGUACAUUACCUCUUAUCUUUUAUUGGUUGACUUCUUAAUUCUCAAGCUCUUACGUUGCAGCAGCUCAGUUACUUGUUCUUUUUAAGCAGGUUUGAGGAGCAUGAUGCACCUGUGUCUAGAUCCUUUUUCACGGAUAUCCUUGCCUCAAUUUCUGAUAUUAAAUUUUCAAAGGAUGGAAGACACAUACUUAGCCGUGAUUAUAUGACCGUUAAGGUUCGCCAUUUAACCCUUAUACAAAUUAUUAUUGUUUGUAGCAUUGCAGAUAACAUUGCCAUCUGAUCCCUUAUGAAAGAUGUAUACAUUUUAUGUAAUGUGUUCAAACUUUGUCAAGCAUUUAUAGUUAUGAUUGUUUAAUGUAUAUUUUGUUGUCAAGGUAUGUUGCUCGGGCUAAAUGAUUUUUAUAAUUAGGGCCUUUUAAAUGCUCAGGCAGUCUUUCACCUCAUUCUAUUUUGGGAAAUUGCUUGCUUCCGGCUUUUUAUAUGUUAUUACUGUUUCUAAUUUUUAUUUUCGUUGUUUUUUUUUUUAAAUCAGUUAUGGGACAUUAACAUGGAUUCAGGUCCCGUUGCAACUUUCCAGGUCCAUGAGCAUCUAAGGCCAAAGGUUAUUUUUUGUCUUGCUUCUCCAAAAUUUAUCGAGUUAAUAACUUUGCUCAUCAAAACAUUACAUGUAUGUGUUCUGAUUAGUUUUGUUAUCAUUUUGUUUGUUGCAGCUAUGUGAUUUAUAUGAAAACGAUUCAAUCUUUGACAAAUUUGAGUGUGGCUUGAGUGGAGAUGGACUUCGGGUAGCGACAGGUUCUUAUAGGUAUAUUCUUUCAUCUCAGUAUUUGACUAUAAUGCUUUAUUUUUACAGUUUAACUCAAUGCUGAUGAUGCUGUUAAUGUCUCCGCAAACUCCAGUAAUCUGUUUCGUGUAUUUGGCUGUACUCCUGGAAGCAAUGAGGCAACAACUUUAGAAGCCAGUAAAAAUCCAACAAGGUAUUGUUGAACUUGAUGCUGAAUAAUUUUUAUUCAUAUUAGUUACCCGAGAGUUGAAAAGAUCACAAAUUCCAAGGCCCUGUUUGGAUGUCGAAAUAAGUUAUUCAAUAAUAUCCUAUUCAGUACAAAGAUUUCUAUUAUGGAAGGAAGCUAGGAAUGUAGUCAAAUGUCUAUAAUAGAUUGCAUAUUUGGAUUUCAAGUUAUUAUUUCAGAAGAAGAUAAAUUGUCUUGCAGGUAAAAUAUACUAUCCUACCAAAUCAUGGAUGCCAAGAUUAUUCAAUGAGCAAAAAUCAAACUUUUACCUUCCAGUUAUCAUUAGAUAACUUAUUCCGAUAUCCAAAUGAGCCUAAGGCCCUAUUUGGAUGUUGAAAUAAGAUAUCCAAUAAUAACUUAUUCGAUAUGAAGAUCUUGUGUGAUCGGAUGUUCCGAGUUUAAUUUUUGUUCCCUUGAAAGCUCUUAGUAUGCAUGAUUUUGUAGGAUAGCAUAUUUCACCUAUGAGGUAAUUUGUUUUAUUUCCAAAAAAAUGACUUGAAGGCAAAUUAUACUAUUCAAUUGUAGACAUUUCAUCACAUUCCUCAUCUACCUAGUACUACAUCCUUCUUGAGUAAACCGAACAGAUAUACAAAAUAAGAUGUUUAUGCAUUCAAACAAGGCCUAAAUAAAUGACCUUUUUUGGGUCUUGAUGAACACCUUGGAACGUGCAUGGUUAUGACUGUUAACCUAUCUAUUUAUGAUUUGUUGAUCAGUGCUUGAUUAGUUUAUUAUGUAUUACAAUAUUGCUAUUAUUGUAAUUAAAUGCAAGUUACUGCAAGCAUUAAGAGUUCAUAUUUGGUUAACAAUAAUAACUAUUAGCACUUGGUGUUAAACUAAAAAUUUAUUUGGGAUGUCACACUUCGUGCCUUUUUCAACCUAAUUCCUACGGCAGCUUCUCUAUUUUCAAAUGUGGCAACUAGACAUUUGGCAAAUAGAACAUGUAGAGCUUUUGCUGCCGUUGGGAGCCAAAAUGAGCCUUGAACCCCAGAAGCAGAAGAUCUGACAUAAAGCUUAUGCUUCUGGUGGAGAGCCACAAGCUGUUGCAGGGGAUAUCAAUGUAAAAGCUGUUAGUGCUAUUUUCCUGAUCUUGUUUUGGCUAAUUUUUACUGAAACCACACAGGCGUCAGCCUCCAAAUCCUUCCAGGCCGGCAAGAUCUCUUGGCAGUUUGACUCGUGUGGCCCGACGAGGUAACUAUUUGAGAGAAAAUUUACUGACACAAUGUAUUUUCAUUUACCAUUUUGAUUGAGCUCACGUCUUGUAAAUUAAUUCUCUGUUUCUUCCUUCAUGUCUAAUUAUGUACGCACACUAAUCUACUGCUGCAGGGACUGAAAGUCCAGGAGUUGAUACUAAUGGAAACUCACACGAUUUCACGACCAAAUUGCUCCAUUUAGCUUGGCAUCCAACUGAAAAUUCAAUAGCUUGUGCUGCUGCAAACAGCUUGUACAUGUACCGUGCGUAGAUACACCCCUGGCGGAAAAGGCUCUCGUAUUUGGCCUUUUUCCUUAAUUAAAUUGCUUCUUCUCGAAGCUCGUCUUUUCACGUGCAACCAGCAAGACCACACAAGUUGCUAUAUCAUUGAGCUUCACACGGAAACCCUUUCGGGGUCAGAAGAUUUUACUGGACUUGCUAACGAAGUAAUUGUCUCGUGUUUUUUAGCAGCUUUUGUCCAAUUCUUUUAGAAGUGCUAAGUCAUCUCUAUUCAUUUAGAUUUUCUGCUAUUACUUCGGCGAAAAAGCUUCUUCUGCUAUACUGUGCUAACUAUAUCUCUUAGCUAGAUUUGGGUUCGUACUUAUGUGGUCGCUGUUACAGUACUUAUUCGAUCUUCGUGGCUAUUCAAUUUAUUUAUUUGUUGAAAUAAGUGGGCAGAGAUUCUGAGCUGCUUUAUGUGCUCAUUGUAUUGUAUGUAAUGCUGGCUGUAUUUUUACCAAGUGGAUUGUCAUCAAAUGUUGUUCUGUUAUGUCGAAUGCUUGUGUCACUAUCGAUUGCUUGUUAUCUCUCUUUGCUUCUUUUUAGUUUAUUUUUUCUUCUAUCUAAUCCUAUUCUUAGUUUGUUACCUAUGUUGAAAAGAAAGUUAGUAGUGUGCAACAUGUGAAUUCUCCUGUCUGAGUGGUGGAACCUGCAACAUUUUUUUUGCAAUUUUUUUUGUAUUAAGUCUCCUCAAUUUUAUUUUAUUUUAUUUUAUUACAAAUAGUCUUAUCAACUUUAUAUUUGCAUAAAUAGUCUUUUCUUGCCACGCAAGCAUUUAAAUGGUGUUUUUAAAUUGAACGUAGUGAUUGAAUUACCUUUUUUUCCUUGCCCCUAAAUUUUUUUAAAAAGAUAGUAGAUUAACAUGAUAAUUUAAUCACGGUGCUUAAUUUAAAAUUAUCAAUGUAACAUUCACGUGGCAAGUAGAGGGUUUUAUAUGUAAAUAUAAAUUUACUAGGAUUAUUUAUAAACUAAUUUUUGAUGGGCUAAAUAUAAAAGAAAAAAAAAACUUUUUUGUGCUUUGCGUUCUGUGAUUGUGGGAACGCAACAUUUGAUCGCUAGAAUACUACGAGUGCAAAAAAAGAUACUCGGAAAUGAUUUCGUGAAUUUUAACUUUUUUAAAAAAUUUCUUUAGCUUUUAGUUUUGCUAAUUAUUAAAUUAUAAAUUUUAUUAGGAUUAAAUAAUUCCAAUUUUAUCUGCUGAUUACUAAUUAUCAAUAAAAUUUAUAUUUUUUUAACCUGUCGGUGAUAAUGGUCUCAAUGAAGCGGUGCUUGGUUUCUUUGAAAUAUCGCGAAAACUUAUUUUCAUGAACAACAUACUUUUCAAAUUUUUUUUUUUACUUGCAAAAUAAAAAAAAAUUAAAAAGUUUUCUCUUCAAAAACUCAAACGGACAAAAAUACUUAUUUUCUGCAAGAUUAAACACUCCACGAAGAUGGUGGAGAUGGGUAGAGAAUAGAGAUGUGAUUUAAACAUGCACUGAACACGUGCUUCGCGCGUGUAGAUUGAGAUCCUGAGCCGAGGCGAGGGGCGAACGCGAAGAAGCCAAAUUCCCGUGAUCAUGGCGUCUUCCACCCAUCCUCCUCCUCCUCCACCUGCUUCUUCGUCGCUGUCUCCUCCGGAGGUACCCAUGGCGCUCCACGCCCACAACCGCGACAAGCUCCUCCGCGCCCUCCGCGAUCGCCUCGCCGCCGCUUCUCGCCCCCUCCGCGGACUCGUCCUUCUUCAGGUAACUACCAUCCCCCGCUCCCUCUCCGAAUCCGAUCCCUAAUCCGCAAUCGAACUCGCCGUUUCCGAAUCCGUGGUUCUUCGCAGGGAGGCGAGGAGAAGACGAGGUAUUGCACGGAUCAUGCGGAGCUCUUCAGGUUUUUUCCUGCGCCUUUUUUCUCGUUAUUUUGAAUCCCUUUCUCUCCCAGUGGAACAGAUCCGUAGGGUUUUGGUUGGAAAGUUAUGUAAUUGGUUUGUCCGAAUUAGUAGUUUUUUCACUUCAAAUUCGUCGCUUGUUUGUUGUGGUCUAGUGUGUUCAUGUCGAGAUUGAUGAAUUAUCUGGGUUUUUUUUUUUCAUGUUGUACAUUUUGGUGAGUGAAUGGUUACCACUUUGUAGACGAAAUGGUCCUAUAGAACGUAGUUAUUAACUCAUAGCUAUUUGGAUUUAACUUGGUGAAUUGACUUGUAGAAAUUUCAUUGAAAAGAAAAGCUAGUAAUUACAGGUUCACAUACUUUGAAGAAUUUUCGGUUGCUUGAUUACUAAAGUUUGCAGAUUUGUUGUUGGCUUGCGGGCAAGCUGAUUAACUGAAGAUAUAUGGAAUCAGCUUAUAAUGCCCUGAGAAGAACACUUUCGUCGCAUAUGUGAUGUUAUUUAUAUUAUUCCUUCUGUUGUAUGUCAAAACUUGCUUUCUAAUUCUCAUCCUGUGAAAUUGUAGGCAAGAGAGUUAUUUUGCUUAUUUAUUUGGGGUAAGAGAGCCAGGUUUUUAUGGGGCCGUCGUAAGUUUUGCUCUCCAUGCUUCCGUUCUUUGUUGUUCAGUAUCUUUUAUGUCAUUGAUCUUGUAUCUUUCCUCCCCCUCAAUUUUAGCUAGUAUGAUCUUUCUUUUUCCUGAAGGACAUUGCCUCUGGACAAUCUCUUUUGUUUGCUCCAAGGUUACCUUCUGAUUAUGCUGUUUGGUUGGGGGAGAUAAAACCUUUGUCCUACUUCAAGGUGAUUUAUUUGUGAAAAAUAAAUAAAUGCGACACUAACUAUUCCCUUAUUUAUUGUCAUACAAAAAUGCUUCAUGUUUCGUAUUGGAAUCUCCAGGAAAGAUACAAGGUCGACAUGGUUUUCUAUGUUGAUGAGAUUGCACAUGUGCUACAUGAUCGUUUCAAGGAAUCAGGAAAACCUCUUCUUUUUCUUUUAUAUGGGAUGAACACAGAUAGCAACAACUUCUCAAAGCCUGCUGGAUUUGAGGUAUCUGUAGCUUGAUGUUGAGUCCUUUACCCUGGUCAUAAAUGAAUAACUAAAAACUUAAAUAUGCUCCUCUUGGAUAUCCUUGGUUGUUUUAAAUACUUGGUGAUGAUCUUUUGGCAAUUGAGCUUGUUCUUUCAGCUGCUUCAAUCUAUUCUAUCGGUACUUGAUACACUUACUAAUUGCUUUUAUUUCUUGUGUUGUAGGGGAUAGAGAAUUUUGAGACUGAUCUAACAAUCCUUCAUCCUAUUUUGACUGAAUGUCGCAUUUUUAAAUCUGAAAUGGAGCUAGCCCUUAUUCAAUAUGCCAACGAUGUCAGCUCAGAAGCACAUGUCGAGGUAAUUAUAUAUUCUUCUUUUAUCUCAGCUUAUUUGUCUGAUUCAGUUGCACCUCUCAUCUUGUGAAUUUUUUUUUCCUUCCCUUUUCACUACUUUCUUAUCACACUAAGGGAAAUAUGUUGGUUGCAUGUUAUGGAAGUUGAUUUUUAAAAACAAUAACUUCAUUUCAGGCUCUGAUUCAGAUCUCAUAUGUUUUUCAGGUGAUGAGAAGAACAAAAGCGGGAAUGAAAGAAUAUCAGUUGGAAAGCAUCUUCCUUCAUCACAUCUAUAUGUAUGGUGGCUGCAGGCAUUGCUCCUAUACAUGUAUAUGUGCUACUGGUGAAAACAGGUGUUUUUCCUCCUUGUGCAUGGAACUUAAAAUGAUGCUAUUGAUAGCUCAAAAAGGAAUUUUCUCAUUUAGCUGUGCUUUUCAUGUAUUAUACAGUUGUUCUGUCAUAAAUUGACGUUUGUUGAAAGAGUAACAUCUUAAACAGCGACCUUGAAAAAAAUUUUAAAAAAAAACUUACUAAAAAGUGGGACUCCCAAAUGGCUUACAAAUGAGCUUCAUAGCAAAUUGGAAAAUCUUUUUCGGAAAGCCGUAUCCUGAGAAACAUAUUGAUGCCUAUGGUCCAUGUUAGACUGUAUCUGUAAACGGAUUACUUGAUCGAGUUGUUGGUUGUUUUAGCAGGUCUUGCAUUUGAAUCCGAAAAGCCCUAUUCUUAAUUGAUUUUGAAAACCAACCUACUUUUCUUGAACUCCACAUGCCAGCUUUGAUUCUACAAAUUUCCCUUUCCUUUUAUAUUUCUUAAAGACAUGGUAAUUUAUUUUGUACUACAGAACUACAUAUUAAUUUGUAUAUUGAACUGCAUGACGUGUUUGAUGUGUCGAUUCUUGAAAAAUUAUGCCAUCAUUAUUAUAUUGUUCUGUCAUACCCCUAUUGAUGAAACCUUGCUGCUAAUCAAUGUUUAACUUUGUUGUAUCUCGGUUGGUGUUAGUUACAAUAUUAAGUAAUAUCUAUUUAUAUGACUUGCUUUGCAGCGCUGUUCUUCAUUAUGGCCAUGCGGCUGCUCCAAAUGAUAGGGUGUGCUUCUUUCUUUUUGUAUUUGCACUAAUAUCUUUAUUCACAACUAAUUGUUAUACUUUACAUGUUGUUCAUCCAAUAUAUCGAAAGAAACAUUUAUACAUGGACAUUGAGAUGGCAAUUGGGUUGCUGCUUGGAUAUAGGUAGCAACUUAAAAGAUAAUGCAACUAAAGAGUUAAAAAGAAAUAGGAAAAAUUCUUUGAAAAACUAUUGAAUGAUGUUCAGGGUCGGCAAAGCUUUCGGGUUAUUUAAUUUUUUGCCAUUUUGGUUUGCUUUGCACCAUGAUUAUCGUAACCAUGUAUUUGUUUUUCAGACCUUGAAGGAUGGAGAUAUGGCAUUAUUCGAUAUGGGAGCUGAAUAUAACUUCUAUGGUUCAGAUAUAACAUGUUCCUUUCCUGUGAGUAACGUAACAUUUUAUCUGUUCCUUUUUAUUAGAUGAAGCAUCAAUUCAAGUUCCCUGAUGAUGCGGUUAUUAGGUUCCUUUGGAAAAAUAAAUUACUUGCAAUGUGCUAUUUAUGUCUUUUACACAACUAUAACUGUCAUUUACUGUAAAGCAUAGUAGUUGGUGAUUCCUAGUUCAACUGUUAUGCUUUACCCUUGUGCAGAAGCAACAAAAUGCUAUUAUUUGAGCAGGAUUAUUUCUUUUUAGGUUAAUGGAAAAUUCACCAAGGAUCAACUCAUAGUCUACAAUGUAAGUAUCAUAUUUUCCAUAUUCUUUUAAGAGUAGAUUUUGUCAUGCCUGAAUUCUCUUUCUUUACAAUAUUCUGAAAGCAUUUGUUGGUUGUUGCUACUAAAUGUUUAUCAGCUUGCCACUGAAGCUCUUGUGAUUUUCUUCUGAGAGUGCUUUCACUUGACCUGUAGGCUGUUCUUAAAGCUCACAAUGCUGUCAUAUCAUCAAUGCGACCUGGAGUUAGUUGGAUAGACAUGCACAAGUAAGGGUAAACAGCUGGAAAAAAAACUAAAUAUUUGAACAAAAUACAUCCGGCUUUUUUGUCCAUUUCUGCUUUAUUUGUAAUUGGUCUUAGAGGCACAAUUUGUUGGCAGCAGCUCUCCUUUCAUCAUGUGAUUAAUAAAGUUCAUGUCCUUAAUGGCCUAUUUUAAUUAUAUACUUUUCUUUAGGCUUGCAGAGGAGACUAUCCUUGAGUCGCUGAAGAAAGAAGGGUUGAUUCUUGGGUCUGUGGAAAAGAAUUUUGCUCAGUGCAUCUAUAGAAGUUUAUUUUUCCAACCUAAUUGAGCUAAUGCCCUUUUUUUGUUCAGCGAUGUCGAUGAAAUGAUGGCUGCAAGGUUGGGUGCUGUUUUUAUGCCGCAUGGUCUUGGACACUUCCUUGGAAUUGAUACCCAUGACCCAGGGGGCUAUGCUAAGGUUAUGGAGUGUUCAGGAUUUUGAUGCAGUUCAAUGACUGCUGCUGUUUUCUCUUUUUUUUUUUUUUCUUUUUUUACAUUUGUUUUCGGGGUCCCUCCCGUUGACAGUAGUAUUGUCCCAAAUGCAGGGAAUGGAAAGACCCAAAGAACCAGGAUUAAGUGCCUUGCGAACAGUACGCGAACUUCAAGAGGGCAUGGUUAGUCAUCGCUUGCUGGUUUACUCUUCAAACAAACACUUGCUAUGACCCUUUUUUUCCCCUCGAAAAAGAAGAAAGUACUGUGUCAUGCCACAAUUAGUUAUUGACAAGACUGCAUAAUCUGCAUUGUAGGUUAUCACAGUCGAGCCAGGGUGCUACUUUAUUGAUGCUUUAUUAGGUCCUGCUAUGCAAGAUUCCGUUACGUCCAAGUUUUUCAACCUUAAAGAGGUCGAAAGACACAAGAACUUUGGUGGAGUUCGCAUCGAAAGCGAUGUGGUAUGCCUUCAUAUCUGAUUUUCCUGAAAACUAAUGCGCCAUUCUUUAAAACUUAUAAAGAAAUUUUGAGAAAUUUAUUUCUCAUCAUCUUACUGCUUUGCUAGUGAUUCAUAAUAUGGUAGAUUUUUGGCACUUAACAGUAGAUUGUUCGAAAGCAAUGAUAUUUUCCUUCUUGGUUCACAUAUAUCUUUGUUUAAUGCUUCGUAAUGAUGUGCUUUAUCUCAUACAGUAUGUUACGGCCGAUGGCUGCAAGAAUCUUACGAAAUGCCCUCGAGAACCGUGGGAAAUCGAAGCGGUUAUGGCAGGUGCACCAUGGCCAGGGUGUGGUUCCAUUAACAAAGCUACAGCAAACGGCAUCUUCUAGCACUUUGGAUAAGCAAGUCCUAUAUUAUUGUUCCACCUGAGCAGAGAGUGCACCUUUCACGUUAUUUCCUCUUCGUUAGUGGAAAUGACUGUUAUUGUAAGAGACGUAACUGAUAUUUGGGAGAGAGAUUAAACUGUUCCAAUAAAAUAAUGAUAUGUAAAUCCUGACAAAAUCAUCGAAAAACUUGAAAGAUCACAGUUAGCAUGCUUUGACUGUUGAGCGUGAGUUCUAAAACAGGCUUUUUUAUAAAAUGAUCCUCCAAAAUUUUGAAAUUUGAGAAAUGAUCCUAUCAAAAUUUCAUUUGGAAAAGUAACCCUCCUUUCGCCGGUCAGAAUUUUGCUAUGAAGGAUUCACCUCCUUCGUUAUAUAUAUGUGAAAGCGGUGAAUCAUUCACCGUUUUUAGUGCAAAAUAUUUCAAAUUAAUCAAAAUUUGUCUAAGUCCUGAGGGGGAACACAGAUAAGACGGUGAAUAAUUCGAUGUGUUCACAAAUAUAUUAUGAAGGCGGUGAAUGAUUCACCGUCUUCAUUAUAUAUAUGUGAAGGUAAUGAAUCAUUCACCGUCUUUACAACGUAGCGCCCAUGUGGCGAAAGAAGGGUUAAUUUUUCAAAUAAAAUUUUGACUGGGUUAUUUUGCCAAUUUCGAAUAUUUUGAGAGUCAUUUUAUAAAAAAGCCCUUCUAAAACUGUAGGAUAUAUUGUUAUCAGUAAGGCUUCGUUUGAAAUUGCGGAGAGAUUGCGUUACGUACCGUAAAAAGUACGUUGGAAAAAUACUUUGUUUGUUUUCGUACGUAAUAUUGCGUUCCGCGUAUCGCGAUGAGUCGGUUACGAUAUAUUUUCUGCGGUCUCACCGGAGAACGCAGAAGCAUAUCCCUAGAUAUUUUUUUCUCAAUUCUAUUUUAUCUAAUAGUGUUAGAUAGAUCUCAAUACCAAACUAAGCCUUAUAAAUCGCGGAUGGAAAAGCACUUUGUACAAAAAUCUAAAAGAUCUGGAAGUAUUUUAGAGUUUCUCUCUCAUGAUAUUAUAAGAUGCUUCUCCUGCGACGGGUUCUAAUCGUCAUCUUUUCGCAUAGGAGCGGCCGAGUUCUAAAGUGCUUCCAUAGGUUUUGGACUUCAAAUGUCUAAACGCAGUUGCACGCAAAGAAAUGAAGUGAAUUUGCAAGCUAGGUCUUAGAACGACUAAACGUAUGGGUAAUUGCUUGUCUUGCUGAAAUAUUAUUUGCUGGGUUUCACUGCACACUCUCCAUGCAAGAGCUGCAUGAUGUUCUUAUGUUAAGCUUCAGCUAGCUAGCAUGGAUAAAUUAGGAAGGAACAGCAGGGGCCUCUGAUGGAGCAUCAUGGGAGGAUGGCAGCAUAUUAUUUCUACGCGGCUUGCAGUCUGCCGGAAGCAAUCGAGAUGCGUCGCAGCGGCCAUCGGAGGAGACUGAUUCACCGAUGAGCCGAAGCAGGACUCUCUCCAGCUCCUCUGCAUCAGUCCACUCGUGAAUCUCAGCCUUGAUCACGAGGGCCUUCGUGCUACCGCUGUAAAUAAGCUCCCACAGGGGGAAGUGUUUUCGCGGCAUCAAACAAUCCCUUUCGCUUAGCUUCAGUGAAGGGCAAUAGUCUCCCUUCCCAUCUCCCACGUAGAUGAGCCGCCUCUUCUUCUCCUCCGCCGCCAAGGCCGAUGACCGGAUCCUUUCGAUGAUCAUGCCCUGUGCGUAACAUGAUAAAAAGGGCUUUCUUAUUGACGAUUGUGCUCCAUCUUUUCCCCCCUUCUUUUGCGAGGUGCAAAAUAAGUUUGUUUCUUAUGGUACCAAUAAAAAGUUACCUUGCACAGGUUUGGAGGGCAGAGACCGCAACCGUGAGUACGGGUGGCGAAGUCGUGGUAAGGCGAAAUGGUGAGCUUCCCCUCCUCAUCUACAUAGCUUGGAUUUGUAAUAAUCUCCGAGAAACAAUCUAUAAGCUCAUGAUGCUUGAGGAUGGUCUCAAUGAAGAACAUAUUGGCAUCACUAACUAUCUUCAACUCACACCUGCAAAUUCAAAUACAUCAGUCAUACAUAACGAGCACCUCUCAAUGCAAGAAGCAUGGGAACAACUCACACAUGCAAAAACUUAAGUAGCAAAAUUAUUACUGUUUCUUCCAACAGCGCUACUCAGACAAUAAGAAUAUUUAUACAGGAGCUCUAGUUAGACCGAACGAGCACUAAAUUUUAUUUUUAGAAAAAGGAUAAGCACCCAAGAGCAUAGGCAGUUUUGAUUGCCGCAAUCAUUGAUCGAGGCAAGGGUGCUCUCCGCAGGCUCUGCGUAAUCUCGUCAAUCGAUCUUCCUUGUAAAUGAAGCUCUCUCAUCAUCUUUGCCUGUGAAACAGAAGGAAAAGCACACAACAUAUUGAGCUCUUCGUAUUUACAUCAAGACCAAAGAAACAAGAGCCAUGAAAUAAGAAAGGUUCCAGUAUGGUGCAUACUGCUGCAGAGUUCCAUGACAUGGAUUUGAGAAGCUCAUUGAAGAGCGCGGUGCCUCCGAGAUCGUCGACGACUAAGUUAUCGCUGUCGCAGUCGAUUAUCGUGUAGUCGAAGUCGAACACGACGAUAGUUGCAGCCAUUUGGAUCAGGAGACAAAUCUGCAAUACUAUGUACUUACAUGUGUAACAUGAAAGAUGUUGGCUAAGGUAGAGAAUGGAUUAGUGCAUUUAUAGUGCACCAAAAGGUGAGGAAGGUGCGUGCACAAUGUGUGAGUCCUACGUACUCUGAUGGGUUUGUUUAGCACUUUCUAUUUUCUUUAUAAUUUAUGGAAAGAGUUAGUUGGAUCCUAGCUUGGAAGUGGUGGGAUGAGCAUUAUAAGGAGCACAGUAAGGUCCUCUACAGCCGAGGUUGUACAAGAUUACUACAGCCGGUUUAUGUGGCGUAGUUCAAUUGGUUUUAGCAUGUCUAAAAUGUCUAAAAAAUGAAGUGUUUAAUUUUGUUAUAUGGAUAGUUUUCGUCCAGGAAACAGGUGUAGGAAUUUGACUACGGCCGUACAGAUCCCUUGGUGUGAUGGACCAAAUACUUGGAAUAUUCUACCACUUCUUAAGUGUAGCUAAAGCCACGUUUUAUCGGGAGGACGUGGCGACCCACUUUCUCAAAUUUUAUUAUUAUUAUUAUUAUUUUAAAUGAUAAUGUGCUAUCUGUUUUAUUUAUUAAAAAAUAAAUUAUUUAAUAAAUAAAUUAAGUUACAGAAGUGAGAUAACAAACUUCUGAAUUGAAAAAAAAAAAAAAAUUAAAUUCAGGGGCUAGGAUUGGCUCGUUUAAACAAGCAUUUAUCCUCUCAUAAAGUAUCAAACCUUUGAUCUAAGAACGAAAUCAGAAAUUAAAAUUUGGGAGGGGGGCCAAAAUUUGAAUUUGAUAGAAAAAAAAAUUGAUCUCGGAUAGUUAAAAAAAAAAAUUGUUUGCCAGAUUUACUGAUCAACUAUUGAUAGCAACAGUGAUGCGAAUGUACUUAAGGAGGAGUAAAACUAUAAUAGCUGAAAGAAAAGAGCAAAGGGGUUCGGAAAAAAAUUGGGAUACAAGUUUUAUUUAAAAAAAUUUAUUUGGUCCUCUAAAAUUAAAAUUUAAAGCAUUUUAAUUUUUACUAUAAAGAACUUUUAUAUAAUUUUAAAAAGUUUAGGAGAGACCAUGGCAACUGUGGACCCCUUAAUGGCUCCGUCCCUAAUUUGAUCGGGUUGACAGCUUGCAAGUAGGGGUGGAAACGAGCCGAGCUCGAGCGAGCUUAUGUGAGCUCAAAUUCGGCUUGAAAUUAAUUUCGAGUCUAAAUCUAGGCUCAAGCUCGGCUUGAAAUUAAUUCGAGCCGAGCUCGAGCGAGCUCUAGAUUUCGAGUCGAGCCGAGCUCGAGGCUCUAAUCGAGCCGAUUGAAAUCUCCGACAUUAUAUAAUCAAUAGUUUAAUUUUUAUAGAACAUUGCCUACAAUUUGAUGCAACAUGUUAAUAGUUCAAAAUACAAAAUAAUUGCAAGAAAUAUCCAGCUAGGGGUGACUGCCUGACCGGGUGAGGGUCAAAGAAAAGAGAGAGAGAGAGAGAGAGAGAGAGAGAGAGAGAGAGAGGGAAAAAAUUAGGAAUUUGAGAAUUUGAAUGUUAUCAUGUUUUAGGGUUAUGUGCAAAAGUGAAAGUCUGAAAGAGAGAGUGUGUUAUGUAAAUUUAGAGUUUGGCUCAAUUGCACGGUUGUACUUGUUGGGUUUAUUUUAUGGGUCAACAAUAAUAACCCAAAUUAAAUUACCUAUAUAUAAUUAAAAUACAUUAUAUAUAUAUAUAUAU
rnacentral:lncRNA from 1 species